UACGUAGGGGGCAAGCGUUGUCCGGAAUCAUUGGGCGUAAAGAGCGUGUAGGCGGUCCGGUAAGUCGGCUGUGAAAGUCCAGGGCUCAACCCUGGGAUGCCGGUCGAUACUGCCGGACUAGAGUUCGGAAGAGGCGAGUGGAAUUCCCGGUGUAGCGGUGAAAUGCGCAGAUAUCGGGAGGAACACCUAUGGCGAAGGCAGCUCGCUGGACGUUACUGACGCUGAGACGCGAAGCGUGGGAGCAAACAGG
rnacentral:rRNA from 1 species